rnacentral:rRNA from 1 species
GUUGGAAACCUCUUUUUUAGGGGGGAAUAAAAUGACGUGUACGGGAAGAAGAAGGAUCGGUUAAAUCCGGGCCAGCAGCCGCGGUAAGACGGAGGAUGCAAGUGUUAUCCGGAAUCACUGGGCGUAAAGCGUCUGUAGGUGGUUUAAUAAGUCAACUGUUAAAUCUUGAGGCUCAACUUCAAAAUCGCAGUCCAAACUAUUAGACUAGAGUAUAGUAGAGGUAAAGGGAAUUUCCAGUGGAGCGGUGAAAUGCGUAAAUAUUGAAAAGAACACCGAUGGCGAAAGCACUUUACUGGGCUAUUACUAACACUCAGAGACAAAAGCUAGGGUAGCAAAUGGGAUUAGAUACCCCAGUAGUCCUAGCCGUAAACUAUGGAUACUAGAUGUUGAACAGAUCGACCUGUGCAGUAUCAAAGCUAACGCGUUAAGUAUCCCGCCUGGGAAGUAUGCUCGCAAGAGUGAAACUCAAAGGAAUUGACGGGGAGAUUGCGGGGA